rnacentral:rRNA from 1 species
UACGUAGGGUGCGAGCGUUAAUCGGAAUUCUGGGCGUAAAGCGUGCGCAGGCGGUUUUGUAAGUCAGAUGUGAAAUCCCCGGGCUUAACCUGGGACUGCGUUUGAAACUACAAGGCUAGAGUGUGGCAGAGGGGGGUGGAAUUCCACGUGUAGCAGUGAAAUGCGUAGAGAUGUGGAGGAACACCGAUGGCGAAGGCAGCCCCCUGGGUUAACACUGACGCUCAGGCACGAAAGCGUGGGGAGCAAACAGG